CAGUCGCCACGGUAAUACGUAGGGUGCAAGCGUUGUCCGGAAUCAUUGGGCGUAAAGCGCGCGUAGGUGGCCAUUUAAGUCCGCUGUGAAAGUCAAAGGCUCAACCUUUGAAAGCCGGUGGAUACUGGAUGGCUAGAGUACGGAAGAGGCGAGUGGAAUUCCUGGUGUAGCGGUGGAAUGCGCAGAUAUCAGGAGGAACACCAAUAGCGAAGGCAGCUCGCUGGGACGUUACUGACACUAAGGCGCGAAAGCGUGGGGAGCGAACAGGAUUAGAUACCCCGGUAGUCCCUGUCUCUUAUAC
rnacentral:rRNA from 1 species